CAGUCGCCACGGUAAUACGUAGGGUGCGAGCGUUAAUCGGAAUUACUGGGCGUAAAGCGUGCGCAGGCGGUUUGUUAAGACCGAUGUGAAAUCCCCGGGCUCAACCUGGGAACUGCAUUGGUGACUGGCAAGCUAGAGUAUGGCAGAGGGGGGUAGAAUUCCACGUGUAGCAGUGAAAUGCGUAGAGAUGUGGAGGAAUACCGAUGGCGAAGGCAGCCCCCUGGGCCAAUACUGACGCUCAUGCACGAAAGCGUGGGGAGCAAACAGGAUUAGAUACCCCCGUAGUCCCUGUCUCUUAUAC
rnacentral:rRNA from 1 species